rnacentral:lncRNA from 1 species
AAAAUGUCAACCCCAUCAUUUUCUUUUUAAAUUAUCAUGUCAAUCAUCAUAUUAAUUACCAUAUAAUCAUAUAAUGGGCUGCCAAUGAUUUAAAAAAAAUUCAAUAGUUUAAUUCGAUUAAAAACCCAAUUGAUAAUAGUUUUGUUUAAAAUUUUAAUUGACUUUUUGAAUUUUUACUUUUAUUAAGUCAAUGAAAUUUUCUUAGGGGAAAUAUGUCUAGAAAACAACUACUACGGAAGAAUACUUGCCGAAAGAAAUAUUAGGGCUAUAUCUUGGGUCUUGUCACCGACAAAACACAUAAACUAUUCUCCACCCCCCUUUAUGAACCGCUAAAUGCUGAUAUAUAACCAAAGUUCAAGUGCUUGUCUUGGGGUCCAAAACAACAUAACCCCCAAUGGAUUCUAAUCCAGAAAUCAGGCAAAGACCCAACAACAAUAGAACCCUUCCACAUACAUAAACGCCCAAAUUUCUCAAUGCCCUUCAAAGACCACAUUCCACCCAAAACAAUCGCCAUCGAAAACAUGCUGAAUCACCAAAAUGCAUUUUAUUUUAAGAGGAUGUUUUUAGCUUUUAAGCUUUAGUAAGUGAAAUAAAAUGAGAGAAAAUGAGAAUCACUAGCAGCAGUAAAACAGUUGUUGUUUUGUAGCAGAGUUUUUCUGAUUUUUGGAUAAUAAAAUCACAAUUAUCUCUCAAAUGAAAAACAUUAGAAGCAAAGACAUAAAUAAAUAAACAAAUGCUCUUCUUUUUAUGAUUUGAGCUUUAAUUUAGUUGAUAUAAUUACUAUAAAAAUAAUUAAGAUAAUGUGUUUUUAAGUGUAUUUUUUCCUCUAAUUUAAGAGUUUGAAAGCAUUAUGAUAAAAUUUAUCAUUAAAUAAAUAAAUAAAAAUCUUCCUUUUAACCAUAAAUUACUUGUUUACGUUGUUUCAUAGCAUUAGCAUAGCCUUCAAAAUUUAAAAGCAAUGAGAAAAAUAUACCUUCCUACCUCAACUGGGCAAAUUUCUUUGGGAUUUGAAGAACAGAUAAAGAUUGUUUCAUGUUUGCAUGAUAGGGAAGUAAACCGAAAGUUGGACACAAAUAUUCAUUUGAAUAUGAAACUCAAGUCAGUUUCCAGGAAAUCCAUUUCCUUGCGCUUUUCAAAACUUCUUAUUUUGGUUUUUGAUUAAAUUAAAUUAAUCUUCCUUUAAGUUUGCGGUGUGAAUAGAUACGAUGAAAAUGGAUGAAAGAGCUGCAGUGCAAGCAGAGCUGAUAGAAGGAAAUGAUCCCCCAAGAAAGCUCAUAUGCAAAUCUCGAACACCUUAAUCUGAAAUAUGACGCAAAUCACUAUGUUCACCGCAAAACCAAAUCGCCGUUGUUUGCUUCUCUCUGCUCACUCAAUAGUCAUAUUUACAGCUAGCUUAAGGUUUCCAGGAUUUGUUGGGAGCUCCCUGAGGUUGAUUUUGCCCUCAGUUCUCCGCUUGCACCGCACCCCCAUCCCUUAGACAAAGCAAGCAAAUAUCGUCAGAUUUUUCCAGAAGCGAAUUAUUGUUGUUAAGCAAAGCACGAAAAGCGAAAGGAAUUUUCCAAUUAAGGAAAUGAAACUGUAAGGCUCAGCCCUUGUGGGAAACUUCCGGUGCAAUUUCCUUGUUUGCAAAAAGUGAGACACCACUGAAACUUUUGAAACAUAUUCGUUGAGACCCUUUUUAUGCCAUAUGGGUCUAAAAUUCAAUAUUCUGGAUGUCUACAAAACAUGUUCAAUUCAAGCAAGAAACAAAUAGUUGAUUGCCGCAAGGUUUAUCCCUUUUUAUCUAUGCUUUCUUUACACGAAAUGCAGUUGGUUGACCUAACACUUCAUCAUAUAAUAAUAAAAGAAUCCAACAUCGCUAUGUUGUCGUGCC